rnacentral:tRNA from 3 species
CCAGAUGGUGCGAGCAGGACGCAGGUCGGUUACCACUUGUAAUGGAGAGGUCGCGGGUUCGAGUCCCGCCAGCCAGCCC